rnacentral:rRNA from 1 species
UACGUAGGUGGCGAGUGUUGUCCGGAUUUACUGGGCGUAAAGGGAGCGUAGGCGGACUUUUAAGUGAGAUGUGAAAUACUCGGGCUCAACUUGAGUGCUGCAUUUCAAACUGGAAGUCUAGAGUGCAGGAGAGGAGAAUGGAAUUCCUAGUGUAGCGGUGAAAUGCGUAGAGAUUAGGAAGAACAUCAGUAGCGAAGGCGAUUCUCUGGACUGUAACUGACGCUGAGGCUCGAAAGCGUGGGGAGCAAACAGG